AUGCCUUACACAUGCAAGUCGAACGGCAGCACGGGGGCAACCCUGGUGGCGAGUGGCGAAACGGGUGAGUAAUACAUCGGAACGUGUCCUGUAGUGGGGGAUAGCCCGGCGAAAGCCGGAUUAAUACCGCAUACGCUCUACGGAGGAAAGGGGGGGAUCGCAAGACCUCCUGCUACAGGGGCGGCCGAUGGCAGAUUAGCUAGUUGGUGGGGUAAAGGCCUACCAAGGCGACGAUCUGUAGCUGGUCUGAGAGGACGACCAGCCACACUGGGACUGAGACACGGCCCAGACUCCUACGGGAGGCAGCA
rnacentral:rRNA from 1 species